GAAGUCUUGGGUUUUCAUUCUUUCCUCUACUCCGCCGCUUGCCUGCCUUGCCCUUACUCUCAGACUCUCUGUCUCACUCUCAUCUCAGUUCUGGUUCUCGGCUUACUGCUCCACUGUCGUCAUUGGUUCUUGGCUCACUGAAAGAUUCUAGUGACAAAAGAACAGUAAUGAGAGAGAUAGUGACGGUCCAAGUUGGAGGUUUUGCAAACUUCAUUGGCUCUCAUUUCUGGAAUUUUCAGGUAGAGUUGUAUUCUUUGUUCAUUAAUUUGUGAAAAUUGGUUCUUAUUUUUGUUUUUGAGAUUUUUUUGCUUAACAUGUGUGAUAAAUUUUUUGUGCUUAAUGGUCAAGGAUGAGUUACUUGGGUUGGGUGCGGAUCAUGCUAGUGAUUCAGUAUUCAGGAAUCUUCAUCAAUUUUUGAACAUGGAUGUGCUCUACCGUAAUGGUGAAACACAAAAGGGCAUCCUUACCUAUACUCCUCGCUUGGUUUCCAUAGACAGUCAAGGGUCCCUUGGAUCUAUGAGUUCACAUGGUACGCUGUAUGAUGAGGGUUCAUCAGCACCAUUAGAAGUUACCACAUGGACAGGCAACAUUUCCACUUGUGCAUCUGAACCUCAUAAGAAGAAUUUGUUCUUGCAAAGUUUGUAUGAAGAAGGUUUAGAAGAUUUGAAGCUCACUGGCGUCGACAAGAGAGACACUCGAAAAGAAAUUCAGGAUAAGGACAUAGUUGAAUGUUUAGAAAAUAGUGUCCAGUUUUGGACAGACUUCUCAAAAGUGCACUAUCAUCCACAGAGUUUAUAUGAAUUAUGCGGAUUAUGGAUUGACACAGAGGAAUUUGACAAUUAUGGAGCUGGAAGGGAUAUCUACUCUGGGGGUCUACGUGGGGAGGAAAUAAGUGAGAGGCUUCGUUUUUUUGUAGAAGAGUGUGACCAUAUUCAGGGUUUUCAAUUCAUUGUUGAUGAAUCAGGAGGCUUCUCUGCUCUAGCUGCAGAUUUUUUGGAGAGUAUUGCAGAUGAGUACAGUAAUACACCAGCUUUGCUCUAUUCUGUGAGAGCUCCUAGUUCUCACAUGAACCCAAGAAGCCAGAAGCAAGCAAUUUCCAGGAAUAUUCAUGACGCAAUUUCAUUUUCAAAACUAUCAUCUUUGUGUGAAUUGAUCGUGCCAAUUGGUUUACCCUCCCUAAGCAGAAGUAAAGCUUCCACAUACCUAUGCAUUGAAGAUAAGAAGCCUUACCACAGUAGUGCAAUUUAUGCUGCUGCAUUACACUCCAUUAGUCUUCCCUUCCGCAUGGAACCACUUGGACCCACUGCAGACUCUUGUUAUGUUUCUGGUGCUGUUGAUGUUUAUGAGCUUGUACAGAUGUUAGCAGGGCAUGAUAGACGGAAUACAGCAACCAUUCUUGAUGCUGCAAUGCCUGCGCCUCCUUUAUCAGGGAAACAUGUUGAGCAAUCCUUGUUAAGGAAUUUGCAGCCAUUGACACCAGAGAUAGCAGAUAGGGAAGAUUUACAGGCAGUGGAGUCCAUGACUGUUCAUGGAGCCCUUGGGUCAGGAGGUUCCCAGGCUUCAGUCUCUGAAGUGACGGAUAGACUUAAUGAGGCUUAUGAACAUUCAUCAACACCGCCAAAGUUCUGCCAUCUAUCAGUUGCUGUUUGCCCUCUUCCCAUACCUUUGCCAUUUCCUUCAAUAUUUGGGAAUCUGGUUGGCCAACGUGGUGAGCUCUUGAGCAACCCAAUCCCAGGUUCCUUAUCAAGGGGAUCGCUUGAUGUCAAUUCCAUCCCUAUGGCAGCUAGACUCCGUUCAAGCAGUGCUAUCUUGCCAUUUUUGGAGAACAGAUUGUUAAAUCUUCGUAGAUAUGGAAUUGAACGAGGAGCACCUGGGAUGGAGUUACUCAGGAGCUGGGGCUUUGAAAGGGAUGAAUUAGAAGACAUUGAAGAAUCACUAUGUAAAAUGGUUGCAACUCUUGAUGAUCGAUAUCAGCUUUCCUCAGACUCGGAUUAAGUUCUUUGAAAUUGUAAACUAUUCACUCAUCCUUCUUUUCCUCAGCUGAGAAUACUACUUUGUUACACCCUCUUUUUCCCUCAAAGAUAACUUUGUAAAGCUGGUUACUGUAGUAACUUUGUAUGGGAUUUAUUUGUAUGGGAUGGCUAUAGAUGCAGGAAAAAAAGAAAAAAAAAAUUGUAUGUAUAGGGAUGAAUUGAAGAACUAUAAUUCAGAGCAACAAUGGGAAAGCAGCAGUUUCUGCUGCUGCUGCUUUCUGGUUUGUGGU
rnacentral:misc_RNA from 1 species